rnacentral:rRNA from 1 species
CCUACGGGAGGCAGCAGUGGGGAAUAUGGACAAUGGGGGAAAGCGGGAUCCAGCCAUGCGGCGCAAGCAAGACCCGCCAGGGUGUAAAGCGAUGAAUCCGGGGGGAAGUGCAGGUCUUCACACCGGGAUAAUGACGGUACCGGAAGAAGAAGCAAGCUACUUUC